rnacentral:rRNA from 1 species
UGGGGAGCGAACAGGAUUAGAUACCCUGGUAGUCCACGCCGUAAACGUUGGGCGCUAGAUGUAGGGACCUUUCCACGGUUUCUGUGUCGUAGCUAACGCAUUAAGCGCCCCGCCUGGGGAGUACGGCCGCAAGGCUAAAACUCAAAGGAAUUGACGGGGGCCCGCACAAGCGGCGGAGCAUGCGGAUUAAUUCGAUGCAACGCGAAGAACCUUACCAAGGCUUGACAUACACCGGAAACGGCCAGAGAUGGUCGCCCCCUUGUGGUCGGUGUACAGGUGGUGCAUGGUUGUCGUCAGCUCGUGUCGUGAGAUGUUGGGUUAAGUCCCGCAACGAGCGCAACCCUCGUUCUAUGUUGCCAGCGCGUUAUGGCGGGGACUCAUAGGAGACUGCCGGGGUCAACUCGGAGGAAGGUGGGGAUGACGUCAAAUCAUCAUGCCCCUUAUGUCUUGGGCUUCACGCAUGCUACAAUGGCCGGUACAAAGGGCUGCGAUACCGUAAGGUGGAGCGAAUCCCAAAAAGCCGGUCUCAGUUCGGAUUGAGGUCUGCAACUCGACCUCAUGAAGUCGGAGUCGCUAGUAAUCGCAGAUCAGCAACGCUGCGGUGAAUACGUUCCCGGGCCUUGUACACACCGCCCGUCAAGUCAUGAAAGUCGGUAACACCCGAAGCCGGUGGCCUAACCCUUGUGGAAGG